rnacentral:tRNA from 1 species
ACAUACUGUCGAAACUUUUCUAUAAUCCUCUUUCGCGCAUAGCCCAGAUAGCUCAGUUGGUAGAGCAAAGGACUGAAAAUCCUUGUGUCGGUGGUUCGAUCCCACCUCUGGGCACCA